UACGUAGGGGGCAAGCGUUGUCCGGAUUUAUUGGGCGUAAAGAGCGUGUAGGCGGCCCGAUAAGUCCGCUGUGAAAGUCCAGGGCUCAACCCUGGGAUGCCGGUGGAUACUGUCGGGCUCGAGUCCGGAAGAGGCGAGUGGAAUUCCUGGUGUAGCGGUGAAAUGCGCAGAUAUCAGGAGGAACACCAAUGGCGAAGGCAGCUCGCUGGGACGUGACUGACGCUGAGACGCGAAAGCGUGGGGAGCAAACAGG
rnacentral:rRNA from 1 species